rnacentral:rRNA from 1 species
UACGUAGGGUGCAAGCGUUGUCCGGAAUUAUUGGGCGUAAAGAGCUCGUAGGCGGCUUGUCACGUCGACUGUGAAAACCCGGGGCUCAACUCCGGGCCUGCAGUCGAUACGGGCUGGCUUGAGUGCGGUAGGGGAGACUGGAAUUCCUGGUGUAGCGGUGAAAUGCGCAGAUAUCGGGAGGAACACCUAUGGCGAAGGCAGCUCGCUGGGACGUUACUGACGCUGAGACGCGAAAGCGUGGGGAGCAAACAGG